rnacentral:rRNA from 1 species
UACAGAGGUCUCAAGCGUUGUUCGGAUUCAUUGGGCGUAAAGGGUGCGUAGGCGGUAGCACAAGUCAGUUGUGAAAUCUCCGGGCUUAACUCGGAAAGGUCAACUGAUACUGUGCGACUAGAGUGCAGAAGGGGCAACUGGAAUUCUCGGUGUAGAGGUGAAAUUCGUAGAUAUCGAGAGGAACACCGGUGGCGAAGGCGGCUAUCUGGACAGUGACUGACGCUGAGACGCGAAAGCGUGGGGAGCAAACAGG